rnacentral:lncRNA from 1 species
UUUUUUUUGGGUAAAUUGUAAAAUAUAUUAAAAUUUCUUUUUUCUUUUUAUAUUCUUUUUUUGGUCGUCUGAUUUAUUUAUAACAUAAAAGCUAAGGUAGUAUACAAAGGUGUAAUACAAACGCCGGCGGGACUUUAACCCCCAGAAACUAAGCCGGCGGGAUUUUAACCCCCAGAAACUGAGCCGGCGGGACUUUAACCCCCGGAAACCGAGCUCCAUACUUAGGAGAGACAAACUAAAAACAGAAACUGAAAAGAUCUAAACAGAAAUGAAGAUUUUACACAGAUAGACAAUUUUUCUUUUUACCCAAACAAAUCUAGAUCGCAAAGCUAACAGAUUGUGUACAAAGGAGUUGACCACAACCUAGAAAGACUCUGAUCUUCUUGCCUCACUUGGUGAUUUAUAUUCUGAGUUUCAGAAGAGAGAAGGAGGAGCGAAUUUUUAGAGAGAGAAAAAAAA